UUCAAUGUGACUAUAUAGAUCUUAAGGAACCAUAACAUUGUACUACAAGUAACAUAUUACACGUCAUGCACAUAUAAUCAUAUAAUCAUUAUAUCAUCAUUCAUCAAUCUAAUAUGUUUACACAAAUAUUAAUAGUGGUUUGAAAUUAUAUAUUUAAAAUUUGACUUAAUUUUGUGGUCAUGAAUUGAACUUUUUUUUUUUUUCUUUAUUGAAUUUCAGGAUGUUCUAUUUUUUCUUUGAAUCAAGAAAAAAUAAUAAGGAUGCCCCAGUUGUGAUAUGGUUGACUGGAGGUCCAGGUUGCAGUAGUGAACUAGCUUUGUUUUAUGAGAAUGGUCCUUUUAAAAUAGCCAAUAACUUGUCUCUUGUGUGGAAUGAUUAUGGUUGGGACAAGGUAAUAACAUUCAAUUCUUAUGAAAUAUAUUUGUUAUGAUUUUGUAUCAUGUGGUUAUAUUGCAAACCUUGAUACUAACUCGAGCCGUAUCUGAGGUAGGGCGAUAGUUCUAGGCUCAAAAAUAAGUACGAAAUAUGGGUCCUAAUUUUUUUUUGGGGUCUAUUAAGCCCUAAAAUAAUUUGCUUAGUUGUUAAAGGGAGGUGUGCUCGAUAGUAACGGGCUUUGUUUCAAAGCAUUUUAUAUCAAGUUUGAUGUUUAUAUAUAUUUAUUAGUUAAAAUUCAAAUUGUAGGUUUGUCCUGGACCACUAAAAUAUCAGAAACGGCCUAAUACUAACGUAUCAACAAAUUUAGUUGAUCCAGACACGAUCACAGUUGUGAUGUUGUUAUAAAUAAGUCUAAAAUCUUAUAAAUCACGGUCGACAACCGUAAAUUUUAGAUAUAUUUAGUCCAACAUCACAACUAUGAUCAAUCAUAUAAACUUGAGAAUCAAGUUGAUAAAUAUAGCAUACCAAAGACAUUGAUUGACAAUGAGAAUCAAGUUGUUACACCAAAUUUGUUUUCUUAUUGACAUUAUGACUAAAGGUGUUUUUUUCAUUUUGUAGGCAUCAAAUAUUCUAUUUGUUGACCAACCCAUUGGGACAGGAUUUAGUUACACUUCUAAUGAAGAUGAUAUUCCACAUGAUGAAACUGGUGUUAGCAAUGAUUUGUACGAUUUCUUGCAGGUAUAUAUAUCAUUUUCCUAAUUAAUAUCUUAGAACCAUUAAUCCUUAUAUACCACAUGUUGUGUAUAUAUUAUAUAUGAUGAGAUUAACAAAAUUUUUAUUAUUAAUAAUCAUAGGAGUUUUUCAAGCAGCACCCUAAGUUCAUCAAGAAUGACUUCUAUAUUACUGGAGAAUCAUAUGCUGGACACUAUGUUCCUGCUCUUGCAUCUAGGGUUCACCAUGGAAAUAAAGGCAAAAAAGGGAUUACCAUAAACCUCAAGGUCAUACAACAUCCUAUUAAUUUUAUACAAUCCGUGAUCGACGAUACAUAAGAUUUGAUGUCUCUAUUGCGGACUUUAUUAAUACUGCAUUUUGAUCUCGACAAAUGACGAUCAUAACGCAACUUUCAAUCUUGCGGCAACUUAAACAAUUGUCUAUGAUUAAGAUAGGAUUAUUAUUUGUUUUUUCUUGCAUGUUUUGAUUAAAAUUGAUUCGAAUACAAUUACAGGGUUUUGCCAUAGGUAAUGGGUUGACCAAUCCAGCAAUUCAGUACCAAGAAUACUCUCAGUUUGCAUUUGAUAACAAAAUGAUUACAAAGCAAGAUCAAGCUGAUAUCAACAAGUUGAUCCCUGAUUGCGAGGUUGCCAUAAAAACUUGCGGUACAAGAUACCUUUUACACUCUUAUCACACCCAUUUUUACUAGUAUUGUCAAAUAGCACGGCUAUAGCGUGAUAGAAUUUGAAGCUAUUGUUCUGCAAUACACUAUUUGGUACAAAGUGUUGUCUAUGAUAAUGUAGUGUGACAAAAUUUGAACAAACUACAAUUUUUCGCGUUUUGUGAAUAACAAACUUAUUUUAUUUGAAUUGGCAGAGAGUAAAGGUGGAGAAAGUUGCUCGUCAGCCUUAUACCAAUGCGAACAGAUAAUCAAUAAUAUUUUGUCCAUUUCUGGUAACGUUAACGUAAGUACCAAGUAAUCAUGUCUAAAAAAAUUAUUUGAUCUUAAAUAAUUUUUCAGCUAUAGUUUAAUUAAAUUAAAUUGAAAAAUUGUAAAUUGCAGUACUAUGACAUAAGAAAGAAAUGUCAAGGACCACUGUGUUAUGACUUCUCAAAUUUAGAGAAACUUCUAAACAAAAAGACAGUUAGGGAUGCUUUAGGUGUUGGGGACAUAGACUUUGUGUCAUGCAGCAGAGUGGUGUAUAAUGCAAUGUUGCAAGAUUGGAUGAGAAACUUUGAAGUGGAUAUUCCUGAACUUCUUGAGGAUGGAAUUAAGGUUCUUAUAUAUGCUGGGGAAUUUGACUUUAUUUGCAAUUGGCUUGGUAAGUGACCGUCUUGAUUUUUUUUUCUGGGUCAAGUAGUCUGUGGUUCGAAUCCCAGCCCCUGCAAAUAAGAGUGCAUUGUCCCUGCCAACCUCAAAGAAACUAUUAUUAUUUAAUGUGACAAUAAUAAAUUUGCUAUUUUAUUCUCACUUGGGCAGGAAAUUCAAAAUGGGUUCAUGCAAUGGGGUGGUCAGGUCAAAAACAGUUCGCGGCAUCGAAAACAGUUCAAUUUGUUGUUGAUGGUACACAAGCAGGAUUGUUGAAUAGUUAUGGACCUCUCUCUUUUCUAAAGGUUAGUUAUUAUAGUUUUUGUUUAUGAGAUAGUUAGUUAUUAUAGUUAGUAUUUGAUAACUAACUAUAAAUAUUUUUCUUGAGCGUGACAUUGUUGAUUUAAUUUUUGGUUAAUUUUAUUUAUGUGAUGUGUAACAGGUGAAUGGGGCAGGACAUAUGGUCCCUAUGGAUCAACCAAAAGCUGCACUUCAGAUGUUGGCAAACUGGAUGCAUGGGAACUUGAAUAGGACAAGUAUUUAAUUUAUCUGUCAAUCAUGUCUAGAUUAAAAUCAAAACAUCCUCUAACAUUGAGAUAAGGAUCACAACUUUGUUGUGUACAUGACUUUUAUGUAUAAUGUUUGGAGGGUGAAAUUUAUGUUCCUAUUUUCAAAUUCUCAGUUUACUUUUAUCCUACUCUCAACAAACAAACAAAAAUUGAAGGGGCAUUUUGCCCCAGGCCAUUAAAAAAACAAAAAAAUUUAAGGAUGAAAUCAAUGAUAUUAAGAUCAGAUCGGGCUGGCCGGUUCAACUAGAAACCAAUGUGUGGUCCAAUUCGAUCAUCACAAAAGAAUCUUUGGUGAUAAAGAAUCUGAAAAUAAAAUUUAACCAAACAGAUCAGUUUAGAUUUGGCAUAUCAUUCGUUUCAUAGAAAAUGAAAAUAUUAAUUGUGCAGUCAACAAAUAUUUGACUUUUUAUGUUUCAAAAAAAAAAAUGCGACAGUCCAUAAGUUCUAUAUCAACGGGUAAAAAAGCUAAAAUUGCUAGGCAACAUAAUUAUAUGAUACCUCAAAAAUUCUGUCUCAAUUGUUAGCAAAGUUUCCUCUCCUUUCACUUUCCGUUUCAUUGACAAUUGAAAAUGCACUCUUCCUCUCUCUAUUGAUCUUCAAAACCAGUACACAUGAGCAAAAGUAUAACCAUGCAAGUGAAUAGUUUUGGUUGCAUGUUUUGCAUCUUAUGGAUUUUUUUUUUGUUGACAAAUGCGUGUAAUGGAUUCAACAUUAUAUGAUAUGAUGAUUUUCUACUUCAAUAUCGCCUGCGGAUUCAUUUUUCUUAUUUCGCUGUAGAUUUUCUUGCAGAUUCACGCUAGGCGUCCUGGAAUUCCUCUUAAGGUGCAGUAUUAUCCUUAGAUUUUAUUCAUACUUAACUGCAAAGCAUUGCGCUGUAUGUAUCGCGGUUGUGUGCUUUUACUCCACUUUUAAUGAGAGUUCGGUGCCACUCCAAUGAACGAUGUCAUAAAUUUUGGAGGGUUACCAAAUUACAUAGCGGGAAAAGAUAGAGUCAAAACGGGAGGCCAAAUUUACACAGUUGUGAUAUUUGGCGUCAAAAGUGUCGUUAAGUCUUUUAUUUACUUGUUCAUAGCAUUCAAAUUGUUCUUUUAUUUACUUUUUCUCCUUUCAUAUGGAGUAUGGCAUUGCUUAUCUUCAUAUGCUAAUUUUACGACCUUUUUAUUUACGGAUUCGUGUCAUUGAGGGUGCUACUUGUUCUGAUUAUUUUUUUCUGCUCUCUUUGCUUCAUUUUGUCUCUAUUUAGUUUGUCUAAUAUAUCCGUUUUAUACUCAUUCUGAUAAAAUUUCUUUACCGAACUAUGCCAUUUGAAUGAGUGUUUUGAAUUGUGCUUAUUUAAUAUUUUUUUGUAUUUCUUAGGUCUUCAGUAGGAUGAAAACUUGGAGGAACCCAAAAUGAUCAAGUUGCGGUGUUGCAAUGCACUUUUUAAGGUGAUUUACUAUCAAAUCGCAAUUGCGGCCUGAUGCGGGUGCGGACAUUGUCAAACCCACACUAUUGUGGCCGAUCGUGUUAUGUGGUCCGCAAUUUGAAACUACGGAUUGUAGUGCAUUGCGAAUGUUGGACUCUCAAGGUUUGUCAAUCCUCAAGGAUUGAUCCCCAUGUGAGGAAUGUUGCUUUGUAUACCUUAUUUUCAUUAUAAUUUGAUUCUUGGAUUUUUACUGAAUUUGUUUUUUAGCUUUUGAGUUGAGGGGUUUGAAGAUUUAAUCACUGAUUGCUAGACUCAUAAGGAGGUUAUUAAAGGGAAUAUAAGUUUACAUAAAUAAGUGAUAUACGUGAGAAGGAGCUGAAUUGGCUUCUAGGUAUCAUGAGAAGGAUUUACUUGGGAAUUUAAAAUAGAUUAUUGAGAAGGACAUACACAUUAAUGCAGCUGUAGAAGUGAUUCUAGCUAGAUUAUUGAAAGUUUACAAUUAUAAAACCAAAUUAUAUUAUUCCUUAAACCUUUCAAUACUUCCUAUGGGUUACUUUGCAUAGCCAAUGCUUUACAAACUUUGCCAUUGCAUCACUCUUUCCUCUUAAAAGACAGCAACAUGGGAUUCUCAGAAACCUCCCUGUCUGUUUUGCUAUUGUUCAUUUUAUUUUCUUCCUUGUAUGCAACUUCACGCAUCACACAUCAUCGACAUAAUCCAACAAGUUUUUCACCAAAUCAACGAGCAGAAAAGCUCAUUAGAAGCCUUAACUUAUUCCCAAAGAAUCCGGUUAAGAUGAUACAUGGUCAUUCUGUCCUUGAUGAUUUUGUCCCUGGAAAGAUCGUGGAGAAAAAGUUCUCGUUUUUUGGUCAUUCUGAUGGGCUUUCUAUUGAUAAUCUUGGUCACCAUGCCGGAUACUAUUCACUUCCUCAUUCCAAAGCUGCUAGGUAACUAAAUCAAUAUCAUUACCAUUGUUUACAAGUUUGUGUUAAUUACGUGGUCAUGAAUUAAAAAAAAAAUCUUUAUUGAAUUACAGGAUGUUCUACUAUUUCUUUAAAUCAAGAAACAAUACUAAUGAUGACCCGGUUGUGAUAUGGUUGGCUGGAGGUCCUGGUUGCAGCGGUGCAAUACCUUUGUUUUAUGAGAACGGUCCUUUUAAAAUUGCCAAUAACUUGUCUCUUGUAUGGAAUGACUAUGGCUGGGAUAAGGUAAUGACAGUCAAUUCCUACGAAAUGCCUUCAUUUUCAUUAAGCACGUGUCACGAGUUUACAAUGGUUCUAGAUUGAGAUUGCUGUCACAGUUGCUGUUAUACUGCAAGACCCUAUAUUGCGAUAAAAUAUGGGCAAAUGUGACCGAUACGGCCACAAUUACAGUUGUGGUGGUGCUGCUGCUGCUGAUAAUGAUGAUGAUGAUGAACCUAUACAAGACACAUUCGUAUAUAGACUCAUACCAAAGACAUUGGUUAACAAAGAGAACCAAGUCGUUACACCAAAAUAUGGUUUCUUAUUGACAUCAUCGAUAACGUGUUUCUCAAUUUGCAGGCAUCCAAUAUUAUUUACAUUGACCAACCCAUUGGGACAGGUUUCAGCUACACUUCUGAUGAUAGUGAUAUUCGACAUGAUCAAACUAGUAUUAGCAACGACUUGUACGACUUCUUGCAGGUAUAUAUAGUAACAUUUUUCCUAUUAGAAAUUUAGAAGAAUUGAGGACAUAUGAAGCAUAUGUUGUGCAUAAAUUAUAUAUGAGAUUAACUAUGUUUUUUUUUAAUCACAGGAGUUUUUUAAGCAGCACCCUGAAUUCGUUAAGAACGACUUUUAUAUUACUGGAGAAUCAUACGCUGGACACUUUGCUCCAGCUCUUGCAUCACGAAUUCGCCGAGGAAAUAAAGAUAAAGAAGGAAUUAUUAUAAACCUCAAGGUCUUACACUAUUUCUUAUUAACAGUUUAAAUCUUUGUUUAUGAUUCUGAAAGGAUUAUUAAUUGUAGUGCCUUGUAUGUUUUGAUUAAUUUGAUUAUAAUAUAAUAACAGGGUUUUGCUGUUGGGAAUGGAAUGACCAACCCAAGAAUUCAGUACCUAGCAUACCCGCAGUAUGCACUUGAUAUGAAAUUGAUUGCAAAGGAAGAUCAAGACGAUAUCAACAAGUUGAUGCCAAAAUGUCAUGAUGCAAUAAAAACUUGCGGUACAAGAUACCUUAUACAUUUUUAUCACAACCAUUUUUACUACUAUUGUUAAAUAACGUCUGUAGCUCUAUAGCGUAGUAGAAUUUGAAGAAGUCGAUUAUGUUCUGAUACACGCUAUUUUGAUUUAUGUUUGAUCUGUCAGAAGCUGGAGGUAAAGAAAGUUGCUUGUUAGCUUUCAAACAGUGUGAGGGUGUAACAAAUGAUAUCUUGUCCAUUGCUGGCAACAUUAAUGUUAGUAAUCAAGACUAAACAAAACAUGUUUUAUUUAUAUUUUAGAUAACAAUUCAGCUAGAAAUUUUAUUUAAAUUAUAUCUUGUAAAUUGUAGCAUUAUGACAUCAGAAAGACAUGUCAUGGAGACUUAUGUUAUGACUUUUCAAAUGUGAUGAAACUUUUGAAUGAAAAGACAGUUAAGGAUGCUUUAGGUGUUGGGGACAUAGAGUUUGUUUCAUGCAGCAAAAUAGUGUAUGAUGCUUUACAGCAAGAUUGGAUGAAGAACCAUGAAGUAGAUAUUCCUUCACUUCUUGAAGAAGGAAUCAAGGUUCUUAUAUAUGUUGGAGAAUUUGAUCUUCUUUGCAAUUGGCUUGGUGAGUUAGUCAACCAAAUUUAUAAUGUCUUGCAAUUCAUUCGAAUAUAUGCUAAAUAUAUUGAUCGGGCAGGGAAUUCGAAUUGGGUUCAUGCCAUGGAGUGGUCGGGUCGAAACCAGUUUGUGGCGGCCAAAACAGUUCCAUUUUUGGUUGAUGGUGCUAAAGCAGGAUUGUUGAAUAGUUAUGGACCUCUUUCUUUUCUAAAGGUUAGUUAAAGUUAGUAUUAAAUACAUUUUUUUUUCUAGAGUACUGUGGCAUUGUUGAUUCUAUUUAUGGUUACAUUUAUUUAUGUGUUGUGUGCAAUAGGUGAAUGAUGCUGGACAUAUGGUCCCUAUGGAUCAACCAAAAGCUGCAUUACAGAUGUUGGUAAACUGGAUGCAAGGAAAACUUAACUAGACAAGUGUGUAAUUUGUCUCUUAAUUGAUACAAUCAUGUCAAGAUUAAAAUCUAAACAUCCUCUGAUAUAGAUAGUGAUAUUCAUGUUUCAAGAUUCUGGUUUUAUGUAUACUUGUAUGGGAUCAAGUAUCGAUUUUUGUUGAUAGAAUGUGUGAAUUGAAAUGGUAGAUAGAGUAAAAUACUAUUGAAUAGUAGAGUAUAUUGGUAAGUUUGAUUUGAGAAACACUAAAGUCACACAUUGCUUAGUUUACACACAUUGAUUAGUUUUCAAUGUUAUAUAAAGAUGUUCAUGUCUCAUUCCAAAGCACAUCAAAACUCCACGCAUUUCUAAGUUUUCUUUCUCCUACUCGACGUCAAUGCACUUUCGAGUCACUUCUCUCAUUUCUUUUUUGUCCUUACCGUAAUUUUGUCCCUUCCGAUUUUAUUUUUGUCCAUUUAGAGAAAUUGUUCCUUAGGUGUUUAGAGUGCUCAUAAUACAAGUGUCCCUUCGAUGCUUAGAUUAGUCAUAUUAUCAUUGUUCCUUCAGGUUAAGAGUGGUCAUAGUUCUUGAAAUUAAACCCACUAUUUAAAGCAAAAUGUUUUUGGAUUUGUAGUCUGCAUAUAUGAAGAUGUGAAGCUAAUUUGAUAUGAUUGAGUUUUCGCACAAAACUAUAAUAUGAAAUACAAGAACUAUAAAGUUUAACAUAUUAUUCAAGAGUAUUGGUAAGAAUUUACUAUUGAUUUUGAAGAGACAUAUUCACGUGAUGUGAAUUCAAGAACUUUUCCAUAUUUAAUUAAGUUUAGUAGUACUUGAAAGAUUCAAUUUAUAAAAAAGAUUUGUUUUGUUUUUUUGAAGGAUAAAAAAGAUUUGUUACAGUGCAUUUGUAUGGUUCACUUAAUAUUGAUGAUUAUAUGAAACUCCUAGAAAAAAUUUAAUUUUUGCGAGAUGUAUAAUUUGGACUACCGAGGAGAUGAACUAAUCCAAAUGAAUGUCUCUUAAUGUACUCAAACAACAAUCAAUAUGUAGGUUGUAUAAAAUUCUUGGUGAGUAUUACAAAAUGAGGGAUAUGUGAAUGAAACCCUUUGUCCAUUUUUUAGAAAGACUAAUGAUAUUUGUACAACAAUUUUAUGAUAACUUUUGAGAAAACAUUCUAAAUUGAAGUUGUUAUAGUUGAUGUCCUUGAGAGCUUCUGAAAUAUGUUUGAUUGAAGCAAUAGUUUAAGAUGAAACCGUUUCUCUCAAACUUACAAAUUCAAUAUUUGAAGAGUAAUCUUUUAUGAAUCAUGAAACUUAUAUAGCAAAAGUGUUAAUAGGGUUUUAUAUGCACAAAUCACAUAUCUUACAAGGACACUUCUGAUUGAAGGAGUGUCCUGAUGUCCGACACGACAUCCUGAUGUCCGACACCGACACAACAUCAACAUUUAUGAUUACAUUAAAUUAUAUUAUUUUUUAAAAAUUUUAUCCGUAUCGACGUGUUUGUGUCUGUGUCUAUGUCCGUGCUUCAUAACAAAUCACAUUUGUUGUGCACUCCAAUAGUUCUACGGUCGCUAGACCGGAACAAAGAUAUGUUUAGAACUUGAAAAAAAAUAUGAAUAACUAAUUGAUCAUGAAGUAGUAUAUUUUAGUUUAAUUUGGAGGCAAUAGUCUGUCUUGAUAAUUAUAAAUAUUUUCAUUUACAACUUGUUGUCAAUCUAUUAACAAUAUAUUGGUCUCACUCACACAAAGAUAUUGAAAUGAAGUCAAGCCUAUACUUUUUUUACAUUAGAUAUAAAAGUUAUAUGUCUAAUCCUCGUAAUGAAAUAUUAGCACUACAUUAGACAUGUCGAAAAUAUAUUUUGGUUGGGGUAUGAUUCAACACACAUAAGGGAUUUAUCGUUUUUCUUCUAGAAAAUGUUACUGCAUUAAUUUUAUGAGGAUAAUAUAUUAAUAUUGCAUGAACUAUUAAUUUGGAAAUAAAAAAAAAAAGUAUAACAAAGGAGAUAGCAUGGGUAAGUACAAAAGGUGCAAAUUUUCUCAUGUCAACUAAUUCUUAGUAGUUUACCUACUCGUGGGAACUUAUUUAGAAGGAUAGUGUGUGUUGUAUGAAGUGAAUUCGGAUUGUGUGCGGUGUCGAAGGAUCCUUGAAGUGGAAGACCACUUAUUUUGUAGAUGUAGUUUUGUUUGAGGAAUUUGAUACUUGAUUUUUAAGUGAAUCGGAAUUUAGUACUUGAUUUUUAAGUGAAUCGAAAUUUGGUAUUUGAUAUUGUCAGGAAAGGUGCACUUUUUUUUUUAUUGCGUUUAAUCAUCUUUGAACAAAAAAUAUCGUAAAUGGUGAAUUUUUAUUCGGCGUGCAAUUAUUUGAAAAAUAUAGAAGGCUUGGAGUUAGAUUAUCUUCUCUUCAAAAAUUCCACACAUGGAAGAGAUAUUUGAAGAUAUCAAAGCUAUCUCUUGAAAGUGGUUUAUCUCUAAAGAGAGGUGAAUUAAUUUUUACCUUAUCUUUAAUAUUGCCACCUUGAAUUUUUCAUUCUAUCUAAUCUAAUAAAUUUUGAUGUAAAAAAAAAGAUAUGGAGGCAUAAGUUACUUUAAUUUUGUCACUUAUGUAUUAUUUUAGUUUUAUAUUUUUUGAAGGAGCAGUUUUUCUUGCUAGUUUAAGGAAGAGAAGAACAGAAAAACAUCGAAACGCACGCACGCACGAGUCCAAAGUUUAAACAAAACAUAAGUACACACACUGACACAGGUGUUGUGUCCUAAGUAACAUUGGUUCCUCAUGAACUCAAACUCAAACCUUAAACCUUCCUCCUCAAUCUUCAACACCUCAUCAAUCGCCACCGUUUGGGAUAGAACGAACUUUCUAGAUUUGAGUUUUUGGUAGAGUUUGAUCUCAUGGAAGCUGAUAGGUAUCCUUUAUAACCCGAAUUCGACCUUUGCACGAGUUGAACAUAUAGAAUUAAGAGAAUUCAAUGAUUUUUUCUUCUUUUUUGAAAACUAUAUAUAAUUGUAAAUGUUUCUUUCAUAAUGUUUUACCAGAUUAAAUACCCCAACCACUUUUGAGAUGCCAUUGGAAGUUUUGGGCCAUGAUUUGCUAUUUGCUCAGGUAUUAAAGUUACCCCUUUUGAGUUGUACAAUUUUAAUGGAUGCAAAUUUUAAGACAUGUGCCUUAUUCUGCUUCAACUUAUAGGCAUUCAGAUAGUUAUGUGUUUAUAUCUCUCUAAUCUGACUCUUUUGUUUUGAAUAGGACCCCAACUCUAAGCACCAUGGAACUACAAUAUGGGAUGCAUCACUUGUAUUUGCAAAGUUUCUUGUAAGUUGUCUAUCUUCGUUAAAUGCUCUGGUCAUUUUUUCAUGAAUUAGAUUGUUAGAUCUUAAGUUGUUUUUCUUUAGAUGAUGUUAUAAUUUAAUUGGUUUACUCUAGAUUAUCAAUUAUUAAAGCAUAUAUAUGCAUGCCUUAUACUUUUGGGGUGUACAUGAAGAUGAAGUAUAGUGAUAAGGUUAAAAGGCUAGAUGUCCAUAUAAUAGUCCCAAAUUUCGCUACUGUGGCCAGACAGCCACGGAUGGGUUCACGGGUACUGGUUUACGGACAUACUUUUGCGAAUUGGUUCGUUCAAAUUCGUACACAACUCGCAAAGCAUGGUAAUAGCUCAGAAAGAAAUCGGUAUCAAAACCACUUAAUUGAGUAAAGGACGCCACGCUAUAAUUUGUUGUCUGUUUUACACUGCUCUUUAUAGAUAAUCUUGCCCCCUAUUGUUCACAAACUUUUGAUGUGGCAGUAUGAUAGGACCUUAAAUGAGAAAUGUAGGCCAGAUGGUCUCUUAGCACAGCAGCAACCCAUAGGCCCAUUAUUUAGAGGGUUAUUGCUAGAAAGAAUAGGAACGGGGAGAGUGGGAUUAUCCACGUCACGGGGAGUGAGAGAUAUGCUAACAGUGUAGAGGGAUUGUGUUAUAGGGGUGCUGUCGUGCUGAGUAGAGAGAGAGGGAGGUAUGGAUCAGAAUCAUUCAGUUGGUUAGGGAAGAGAGCAUUGGUUCUCGGAUGAGCUUUGCUCUGUGGACAAUAUGGUCUUCAUCUAUUGUAUUUUACUUUGAUUUCUGGAAAUUAUACACACUCUAUUUUCCAUUAUUGCUCUGUUUUCUUUCAUUUAUCGUUUCUGUAAUCUGGGUUCGCAUCAGAUUAUUCUAGCUUGUUGGUUUGAAAGAUUAAACUAUAAGGACUUAUGUUAUGUAAUGUCAACAUUUUCACUGUGGGACUAUUCUUAUUCCCAUUAUUAUUAGCUGUUGUGUUUAGUUUAUUAUAUAUUUUAUACUAAUUGUUAAAUUGUUGAUAAAUUAGUAAUAAUUCCUUUAAAAUCAGCGUAAUUGAUUUUAGCAAUGUGUAAUAAACUUCAAAUUUAGCAAAUCUUUUUAGUGUUAUAUCUUCAAUGUGUAAUCAAAUCAGCGUAAUUGAUUUCAAGUUAAUUUUAUUGAAUUUUGUUUUUUGGUAGAUAGACAAAAUGGCAAUACCCCGGUCACGGCGUCCAGCCUAGCAAUUUCGGCAUUUUUGCCAGUUGAGCUAGGACUUGUGGACAUUGAAAUUUAUAUUUAAAGCAUGUGCUUUAUUGUUUUUAACUAGACUAGAUAAAAAAAUAUUGAUAACAUACCAAUAAAAAUAUUAGAACUUACCACGAACCCAAAUACUGUACCGACUAUGUAUACCGUCCACCUCCCGAAACUUGUACCAUGUACCAAAGCGAAUUGCGAACCAGGUGACUUUCCUUGGAUUUAUUUUGGAAAUUGUACAUGAAUUAAAUUAAUUAGAAAGUAUAUACACCUUUGUCACCCAUAGUUCUUUUGCUUCCAGGAAGUAAAGAGCAUCGAGAAAAGAGAUAACUUAUAUGACAUGAAUUAAAACUUAAAAGAAAACACAUUUGCUCUCUUCUUUGGGUUGGAUCCUUUGAGAUUUAUCUAGGUCAUGAAGUUCUUUAGAUAUUUCAUUGACUUUAUCUUCCCUUGUAAUUUUUUAACCUUACAUUAUUGUAAUUCCUUAUAAUGUAUCUUAUAUAAUUUUAGGAACGGAAUUGCAGAAAAGGAAGAUUUUCCCCUGCUAAACUUAAAGGAAAACGUGUAAUAGAACUAGGAGCUGGCUGUGGUGUUUCCGGGUUUGGUAAGUUUUUUCAAAUUAUUAUUAAAAACUUGUUUAUUGAAUUAGUCAACUGUGCAUAAAUGCACUAGUUGGUUAAAAUUGAUCUAAGCUAUACUCGAUUUUAUUACUUUCUUUGGCUGUUGUUGCCUAGGCUGAUCUGCGCUUCCUUUGCAGCCAUGGCUAUGCUGGGUUGUGAUGUUAUAGUUACAGACCAAAAGGAGGUUUUGCCAUUAUUACAAAGAAACGUCGAUCGUAAUAUUUCAAGGGUUAUGCAAAAGAAUCCUGGUUUGUUUCAAACUUUUGAACUAUCUUUUUGGACCUUGCUAUAGUAUUUAAUCUUUUGUGAUUGUGUUGUGUAUUUGAAUGAUGAUAGUAUCUCACCCAAAAAUCGUCUGCUUCCAGAGUUAUUUGGCUCAAUCAAGGUUUCCGAGCUUCAAUGGGGAGACGAGAGUCACAUUAAGGCCGUUGGUCCUCCAUUUGACUACAUUAUUGGCACCGACGUUGUAAGUGUUAAAACAAACCUUUCUUCAUACAUAGUAGAAUGAAUAAAUUAACUCAUUGACCAAUUAUUAUUUUAUUGGCAAAAACUCAUUAACCAAAUAUUAAAUGUCUUUUUAAUCUUAACAUAAUCCUACUUUUUGUUUUACUUUAUUUCAUUGAAGGUUUAUGUAGAACAUCUAUUGGAGCCUCUAUUGCAGACAAUACUUGCUUUAUCUGGACCUAGGACAACUACAGUGGUAUGUUACUCUACUAUUUAUAAUUAAACUAUGCACCUACUUUUAAUAGUGGCGUUGGAUUCACUAAUUUGAUAUUUUUGUUUAUUUUGAAUUUAUCCAUGAAGUUGGGUUAUGAGAUCCGAUCCACCAGUGUCCAUGAGAAGAUGCUUCAGAUGUGGAAAAAAAACUUUGACAUGAAGACCGUCUCGAAAUCAAAGGUAUGCUAUUUAUUUUGCUAUAUUACUUAAUUAAUAGGUGAGUUUGGUUACAAAUUAAAACAACACUUUGGGUCCAUUUUGAUAAAUAACUUAAUUAAGCACUUGUAUCAGAAGUGUUUAUCAUAUAAGUGCUUAUGUAUCAGCUAUUUUGAUAACAAAGUAUAAACUAAAGUCAAACUGUUUUCAUGUAAGCUAUAAGAUGUUUUCAUAUGCUAUCCUGAAGAGCUUAUGGAAAUAAGCUAAAAACAGCUUUUGUAAAUGUCAUAAGCUGUUUCUGUAAGCUCUUCCAAACAGUCUUACAAGUGCUUAUGUCAGUAGAUGAGCUCAAAUAAGCAAAUCCAUCCAGACCCUUAAUUCUUCCCUUGUGCAGAUGGAUGAAACAUUUCAACAUCCAAGCAUUGAACUCUUCAUUAUGGGAUUUAAACCUUUGGCAGAGGGCCCAGAAAACUCAAGUCAAGCUGCUGCUGAAAAAGUUGAUGUGGAACCUGAUGUGGAGGAUAAAAACACUGAGGAAAAUAUUGUACUAGAAGGAUCUGGUCUUGUUGAAGAAAAUAGCGAGGAUCAUAGUAAGUCAAUUCCCCGAAAUGCAAAGCUUAGCGAGUGGGAAGCCAGAAGGUAUGGCUCAGUGGCUGCAAAGAUUUUACGAGACGUAAAAAUAUCAUGAUUUUUAAAGUUGGUUGUGAAGACUUCGUUAGCUUACGAAAUAUCAGUGGUCAGACGCAGAGGCUUCAAUGCCUUGUUCACCUUUACAUGACUACUAUUUUGUUAGGAUCACGAGCUGGAUUCCAAUCUUUCUGUCCAUUGAAGUGUAGGUGUAUCAAUGAUGAAGCAGUAACCUUGUUAAGUUUGCCAGAACUUGAAAGCAUUUGCAUAAUGGUUGGUAACUGCACCGUGUAUAUCACAGUAAUUAUUAUCCUGCACGAUAAUGUAUUGCAUCUACAAAUUGAGGUCUUUAGAACAUGUAUUAAAUUCUGCUUUUUAUAGUUAUGGUUACUAGUUUGGAUUAAUUUUUAGUGCGAGAGUUUAUCAAUUAAAAGUAGUUUGUUAUUUUACUUGAAAUUUAUCUAAAUGGUUUCAUAGCUGUUCCUGCCAGGGAACAUAGAGAUCGUCACCUAGUAGUGACCAGCUCCUUCAUUGCAAAUGUACUAUUUCUUCUCGUCCGCUACUCAUGCUUCUCCAACUGUUGCUCGGCUGCUCCAAUGUGGAGGGAGGCCUGCAAAUACACUGCUGCUCGGAAACAUAGAGAUCAUCACUUAGUGAUGAUUAACUACUUCCCGUGAGCAGGUUUUGUAAGGUAUUGAUCGAGUGAUCAUACCGAUUUAUAACAAUUUUGUGGUCUAAGGUGUAGUGUGUUCUCUGAUUGGUUUAGGUGACAUCAUCAUCCUCUGUUUAUGUUGUAAUCAGCAUCUUGAUGAUCAUGUCUCCUUGCCGAAUAAGGAUUGGGUGUCUUUCCUUAAUAUGUGGAUCAAUAUCGAGUUAUUGUCUUAUCCUUGAAGUGAGGCUCUAUUGGCUCCCCUGAUUUUGCUGCAAUAGCCUCACACAUAUCGGACUAUAGCAUCCGAUAGUACGACUUCUACUCUAAAUCCUAUCGGAUUCUACUUUUCGAUUGGUUUUUUCGCCAGUUUUGAGUAAUAUGGGAGGCAGAUACAGAAUUUCUCUUAUCCUUAUCGUUUAUUUGAAUUCUUCUUUUGGGCUAGAAUUUUACAUGGGCCUGACUUGCAUGUAGCCUUUUGGGCCUAUUUUAAAGGACACAAGAUGACUUGUUUCACAAUUCUUACCUCCGUCUUAUAUAGCUUCACCUUUGUGUUGUUCUGAACGCUUAAAUCAAUUGCAUUUUUGAGUUUGAACAUAUUGUAUGUCAAAACGAGAUCGGCUCUAGGCCGCAAGGUCCAUCCUGGUACAGUCAUAUUCAUCUGCAUUAGAUGACAUCUCACAUCUUUGGUAUACCGAUAAAAUAAAUUUGAAUUUUGAUGAGUGUUGAAGGGUCUGAUAUCCAUAUUCAUCUGUAUUAGAUGACAUUCACUUACAUUACUUUACUAUGAUAUGAGACUGCCUUAAAUUUUAUUGACAGAUUAGUUAAAGGGUCUAAUUUUAGGUACUCUAGAGUUUGAAAAAUCACGGUAAGAAAACCAUCACAAUUCACAAAUUGAUGUAGCUUGUGUGGCACAUAAAAAGAUAUGAUGGCACAAGAAGUAGAUGCAAUUUAUGUGGGUAAAUAUACAGGGAGCUUCUACUUCUAGUUUGAAUUUAGGGUUACUUCUUAGGUUUGUUUCUAUUUCACAGCUUAUCUAAAAAUAGCCCAACAAAGCCAUAGAUCCCUAUACUAGCAAGUAUACUAUUAUUUCUUCUUUUGUAGGAAAUAACAUAUGCAAAACUUGUUAUGACUAUUACUAUUACAAUAUUUGGCUUAUACAUAACAUAAUCAGAGAAAUAGUGUCCUUUCCAUAUUGUUUUUGGCCUAUGUUAGGGAUGAGGUUCCUAUGCUAUUUGAUUUCAUGGAUUCAUAGCAAUAGUGUUUGGAUUUUCACUUGGAAAAUUUUGAACUUUGGCUUGUGUAAAAUCAUGAACAGAAAUUUAAUUAAAUAACACCCUAUGGAGUUUUUUAAGAGCUAGUAGUUUCUCUUUCAACAGGAUACCACAAUAAAAUAGAAACUGAGAUAGCAUGCAUUAGUUAAAGUAGCUCAACAAUAAUUUUUGUUCUAUGAAUAGAAUAACCUAGUUUUUUUUUUUGGUUACAUAGAAUAGCCUAGUUUCAAAACUAAUGCUUGUAUUAUUUUCUAAUGAAGACCAACUGUUUUAAUAAUAAAUAUAAAAUAGUGAGCAUGAGAGAGGAGAACUAUAGUUGUUCUAUAAUCGCAGAUGUAGAUAUCGUUAACCAAACUGCGUGAACAAAAAUUGUGCGUCAUGGUCUUUUCGUUUUUUUUCUUCAUACUUUUAUACUAGUUGUUGUUCUAACAUAUCAAGGGAGGUCAUAUCAAAGGUUUAUUUUUUUGGAACAUAUCAAGAGCUAUUUUAAUCAAUGGUUACACUUUUAAAAACUAAUUUACUUAUUCACUCUAAUCAAAUUAAAUCUUGAAAGAUUCAUUCCAAACAAACUCAUAAAUAAUUUCUAUUUAAUUUUUAUAUUGUUUAAACUAAACUCUGGUUUCCUAUCAAAAAGUAAAAACAAAAUCUGGUUGAGUUGUUAAAUUUUUUAGAUUGUGAAAAAGAUAUGAUUUUCAAUAAAUUAUUAUAGGGAAAGAAUACGAGUCAGACUAUAGGUAGGAACAUUAACUAGAAUCAAAAUCAAUGAAAAGAGGAUUCUUUGUGAAAUGAAAUAAGGCACAAAAAGACAGAUAUGUGAUCAUGAAAUUGCAGGGUGUUUUAGCAAUAGUAUAUGAAGGGAUGUCAUAUCACAAAGAUUAACGUGAGAUAGCAGACAACAUAUAUAUAAAUGGUAACUUGUCAAUCAAGGCAAAAGGACCAAGAAAUUGCUUUCAAAAGUGUCAACAGCAACAAAUCAUUACCAUUACUUUGACCAUCCUAUGACUAUGUGUGUGUAUGUAGUAUUUGUUUAGCUAGAGGUUGUCAUUGUUACAACACUACUAUUGGAUGCCUAGUUACAAUAAAUUCAAAGUUGCGAACCAAUAUUUACUAACCACAAUAAACAAAUCAAAUUUUGUUAUCUAGUAGUAGUAACUAACCAGUGUGUUAGAAAUUAGAAAAUGUUAAGAAAUGUGAAGUACUACCUCCGUCCUUAAUUAUAAGACUCUUUUGAUUAUUACGAAUUUGACAUGAUCAGUGAAAGAAUGUUACCUCUCGAAGUGUAGAAAAGAGUCUUGAUCACAGCAAAGCAAAAGAGCAAAGCCUCUACUUGUCCACACGAAUGGUUCUCCUCCAGUUCCUGGUACUAGCCAAGCGAUCAGAGUUUCGACAAAAUGGUCUUAUAUAUAGGGACGGAUGUAGUAAUUUGCAUUAUUGUUUCUUUGAAAUUUUAACUUCACAUGUAUCAAAUAUCUAGAUCCGCCCCUGCAGAGUACUUUUAAAUCACUCCAAGUGCGUACAUAAUUACUUUGGAUUUUUAUGGUAUGUAAUUUAACAUUUUGAUGAUUAGCUUUGUGUUUAAUUAUCUAACACAAAUUGUGUUUAAUGUUUAUUAAAACAUAAAUUAUAUACAUAUAUAUUAAAUUUAUUUUUGCAGCCACCCAACCUUUUUAUUUGACUCCGACACGUGCAUUUUAAAUAAAUUUAUUAUUCUAUUAAAUCUGUUUACCCUUAAUUUUGUUAAAAGUUACUGUAAUAAGAGACAACCUUUAAAUUUUUGUUACUCUCAGCUUGAUGCAUGAAGUGACCGAUUGAACAUUAGUUUCCCUUUAACAGUGAAUUUACUUAGUCUGAGCCAACCCUGUCGUAGGGGGGCCUCUUUUAGAAUUCAGAAUAUAGGACACGUUUAGGACACUCAGAGUCAGAAUGUUUCAAAAUUUUGUAGCAUAGAGUAAGAAUAUCAAGGCUCUAAUUCAUUUGUUAUAAAAAUCAAGUAAUAUGUGAAUUAAUUGUAAAAUAUAAGGUUGAAUAUAUUUUCGGUCACUACCAAAUUAUGAAAUUUUGUUUUUCUUUUAAAAAAAAAAAACCUUUUUUUGGUCUAGUAGCUGAGUGCUAAAACUUACAAUUUAAUUGUGGAGAAAUGAGGUAUCAGGGGUUCAAACCCCGACCCCUGCAUAUAAUAUGUAAUAUUCCUACCAACUAAGUUAAGCUCACAUAGAUUAAAAAAACCAUCUUUUUAUAGUCUACAAUGCAAGUAGUUUAGUCCCUUUUGUUAAAUUAACAUAUAUUUUUAAAUGAUAUUUUGUAAAUAUAUUUAGAACACUAUAAAUUAACAUGUUAAGGGUUGUUCACUUCAAUUCCAAUCGUUGGAUGACUUCUCUAAAAAAAAGUAUAAUGCUUUCUAAGUGAUUUCACUCUCUUAUGUAUGUUCAGAUUGUUUGGUGAUAUAAAUGCUAGAAUAUUUCUAUAAAAAGGGGACUCUAUUCACCAACUUAUAGAGAAAAUUAAGCUCCAAUUCUACCGGUAGUUGAAGGCACAUCAUUUUAAUUAUCAUAUGUGGUGGCUUAAUCUUCAUUUAUGUUUGGAAGUGCACAUUUAGUUUCAAAUGGAGCCUAUGUUAGGAGGCUUUCUUGGUUUGCUUAUGUAACAUUUAAACUAACAAUUCAUAUGAUGGAAGAGUUAGGCGGUUAUGGAUUCAAACUCACAUGAAUGAGUAAUAUUAAUUUAACAAACUAACUAUUAACAUUUUAACUUCAAAAAUGUUAAAAAAAUUUCUUAGGAAAUUGUUUAACCAAUCAAAAUUUGUAACUAGUUUCUAAAAAGUUGUAUAAUUAUUAUUUUUACAUGUAUUUGAGUCAUAUUUUAAAAGAUAAAUUUUUUUUAUUAUAGAUUCUUUAAACAAUAGUACUUUUUAAGAUAUUCGUUAGCGUUUAAAAAGAAAAUACAAUUCAUAUGGUUCAAAACUGCUUCAAUGAGCUUCAAUGAGACUGAUUAUUACAAUCAUAAUCAAGCCAAUCUAUAAUACGAAGGGGUUUUCAAUUCAAACAGUUGAAUUGACUCGUUUAGUUUUUUUGUGGUGGCCGGGGUGUGAACCUUGAACCUUGUAUAUGUUAUGAAUUGUCCCUAGCAAUUGAGCUAAUGUCACAGGGUUUAGUCUUUUUUUUUUUUGACCAAAGCAAACUUAACUGAUAUCAUUAAUUAAAAAAGAUCAAUACAAGGAGGACGAAUCUAAAAAACAUGGUGACUAGGUCAAGAACAUGUCGCCUUAGCAAUCGUAUGAGCAGUCAUGUUCGCUUGACGCCUGACAAACUUCACCUCAAAGUUGGAAAAUAAAGCUAGCAUAGACUUAAUAAAAGAGACUAUAACAUUAAACUUUGAUAUACCACUGUUCCGGUCUGAAAUCUGAUCGACUAGAGUGCGAAAAUCCGUCUCAAAUACAACCUUAUCCCAUCCUUUUGCAUCGCAACUUGAAUUGCUUCCUGCAACGCCAUAGCCUCACCCUCAAGGACUGAUAUGAGUAGAUUUUCGGGUCGAAUGGCCAACAACAAACACCCCUAUGGCAUUCCUAAAGCAACAACCUGUAGUCGAAAACCCUUUGGAGUUGUGGAACGCAAUAUCAACAUUACACUUCAACCAUCCAUAAUUGAACUUUUUUCAUUGAAUCUGCGCGGGGAAGGGAGGAGUUGCACUCCUCCCCAAACUGUUCAUUUUUUGGGCAACUUUCCAUUGCUUCCUAUUGCUCAACGCCAACCUCCUAAUUCCCAAGGGUGUAUCACGACUAGAGUUCCAAACAACAUCAUUCCUAGCUGCCCAUAUUUGCUGGUUUAGUCUAAUUUUUUAAAUAUGUUUAUUAGCUCUUUUUUUUUAUGGACCAUAUAAAAAUAAAAUAAUACUAUCAAAAAUAAUAAAUCAACAAUGAAAAAUGUAAUAAUACUCCGUAUUAAUUUUCUCUUCUUUUGUUGACAAAUGAAAAAAAAUAAAUUAGUCGUAAAAAUAUAUAUAAUUCUUAAAAAAAUGUUAUAUUAUAGGCUAUAAUUCAUUGAACUGAAAGACAAAGACAUCUCUGUAGGUCGAAUCUCAAUUUGGUUAGAACCUCUUUGACUUUUCUCUUAUUUCUAAUUCUUCCAAUUUCACUUUCACAAUUCUGUCAACUUCAUAGAUUUUUUUCAUUCAUAAAAUCCACUCUAUACAACUCUGAAUUCCAAACUUUUCUGUUGCUAUCAUCAUAAUAUAGGUCAAGCAAAUUAAUCAGUGCCUUUCAAAAUAGCAUUUCCAUAAUCAUCACAACACAAAACUAUAGGCUAUAUUCUUUCCAAAGAUACGUUAACAUUGCUAUAUUCAAAGUCUUAUCUUGAAAUAAGUAGUAAUAUUAUUGCAUACAACUUCAAUUUCUAUCUCCCUUGCUUCGGACAUGAAAACAGCUUCAAUUUGUGUCACCAAAUUUGACUAGAAUAUUUUAUGUUGUUCAUGCAUCUAAGAACAGAAACAAGGGAAGGAAAGAAAAGAAACGUUUAUAAAACAAUGAUAUUUUCUUUUUUUGGUACGAAACAAUGACGUUUUCUUUAAUAAACGUUGAUUUUUUUUAUUUUUGUGUCUGAAAAAUAGUGACAUUUUAUAUUUAGUCUCUAUAUAAUUAAAUUUCAUAAGUAUAGUUCUAGUCUCUAUUCUAACAAUCAUUUAUAAAACAAAGUGAUAUCAUUGAAAAAAAAACAAAGCGAUACGUUUAGUCUCUCUAAGAACUGAAAAUUAGGUCAUAUUAAAGCAUAAUAGAAAUUAAAAAUAAAUAUUUAAUUAAAAUUUGUUGUUAAAAUUUUUGAAUUAAUUAAGCCAAAAAAUAUCAUGCCCUUGUCGUAUUCCAAUACCUACCAAGUGUAGUGAACUAAAACUUUGGCCUACCUCCGUGGCAGCCUUCUAGUUCUAUAAUUUGCUUAUUUGACUCUUCCCAACGUAUUUCAACCCUAAGCCUCUCUUUGGUUUGGAGUUGAGUAUAAACGAAGAAUAUAUAUAUAUAUAUAUAUAUAUAUAUAUAUAUAUAUAUAUGUGUGUGUGUGUGUGUGUGGGGUUAAAAUCCAUUGAACUAUGGUGUCAAACUGAAUAAUACAACACCUCCCAUAAUUUUAUCACAUAAGCAUUUUACAAAAUACUCUGUUGGACCGAAAGCCAUUAUCAUAUAGAUCACGUCUAUACAAUUUUACAUUAAUACAGAUAUUAUCUUAAAUGUUAACAAGAUACAUAAAAAUUAAAAUGUUUGAUAAAAGUUCAUUGGACGUCAAUUUUGAUGAAAUUCAAUUGCAUAUCAGUGUCAUAGUUUGGUUUGAUGAUGUUUGGUGAUGUCUAGUUUUGAUAGUUGGUGCCAUUUAAUUUGGGAAAGAAUAGUUCUUUCCCACCAUGAGAAAGUUGAUCAUGUCCAUUUGAUUAAAUGAGGAACAUAUUUCUAUCAUACUCUCUCAACCACUAGAUUAAUUUUUUAUACUAUCUUUCACAGUCUCUCUUUCAUGUCCCCACACACCCAUACCACCACCACUAAAUCACAAAUUCAACAACCACUUUGACCACCACUGCACCACCACACACCACCAUGGUUGCUGCCGGAAAACUUGUUAGCGUACGAUUUUUAAAAUAGAAAGACCAAAACAUCAUUUUCUUUUUAAAUAGAAAGACCAAAAAUGCAUUUAAACCUUACUUUUUUAACAUUUUUUCUUUUCUUUUCUUUUCUUUUUUAUGCUUCCAGGAACCCAUUUGUUUUUUUUAUAAAAAAAACAGAAGAAAAAUAAUAUAAUUUAAAAUUAUAUAAUACAAUCAUUUUACCUGGAGAGAAACUGAUUAAUUGGAUAAAAAAAAUAUAUGAUCACAAAUAGGUAUAGUUUAUGCGAUGGUGGUUGAAAUUCGAACAACAAGAUAAUUAUGCAUCCCUCUAAAAUAAACUAUGAACAAAAUAAUAUUGCAUCCCUCUAAAAAAAUAUAAUAUUGCAUCGUUAGGUUAAUUUAGAUUCUUUAUAGGAAAAUUUGCAGGUACCCUUGAGUUUUGAUUAAAAUGAUGGUGCCAUUUAAUUUGGGAAAGGAGAGUUCUUUCCGGCAGCAACCAUGGUGGUGCAGUGGUGGUGUGUGGCGGUGUAGUGGUGGUCAAAGUGGUUGUUGAAUUUGUGAUUUAGUAGUGGUGGUAUGGGUGUGUGGGGACAUGAAAGAGAGAGUGUGAAAGAUAGUAUAAAAAAAUAAUCUAGUGGUUGAGAGAGUAUGAUAGGAAUAUGUUCCUCAUUUAAUCUAAUGGACAUGAUCAACUUUCCCAUGAUGGGAAAGAACUCUCCUUUCUCAAAUUAAAUGGCACCUUGAUAGUUUGAUCCAUAUUGUUUUUGUUUCCGUGCCUUAGCGUAGCUUGUAAAGCACCUGAUGACAUGUCAUCUUAUAUUAUUUUCAACAUAUUUUUCAAUCAUUUUAGUUAUGUUCUAAUCCAAAUUAGAGGAGUUUUAGAAAAAUUGCAUAUGAUUUACAUGACAUUUUGUAAUAUUUUCAUUUCGAGUAAUGUAAUUCUAGUUUUUCUGAAACCAAACAGAUUUAGGUGUUUUUGAUGUAAUUCAAUGCAAAAUCGUGUAAAUCGGCAAAGCAAAUCAUCUCUUGAGGAUUUUGAAAGACAAUGGAUGAAGAUUCAAGAGGCCUCCGAAGACAUUACAAAGUAGUGAAAUUCUAUCCCAAGUCUCAAGACAAGUUUUAAGGAAGAAAACACUUAAAAAGACCAACAACAAAAAAUCGAGACAAAAACGCACUGAAAAAUAGUAGUGUGCGCCCCAGGUGUGUCGUUGUGCGUUCUGGUGUGCAAAAUAGUACUGAAAAGCACUAUUUUUGCAUUGACGUGUGAGAUGCGCCUUCCCAAACGCAAGGCACGUGCGCCUCCGAGAAAAAACAAAUUUUUGUUGUUUUUUAUCCUACAGGUUUGAGGAAAAGCCCAACUUUUCAGAGCAAACCCUUUUGAAAAUCAGCCUAUAAAUACAAAUCAUCUCAUUCACAAUUAUUCAUACAGAACGAGUUGAAGCGGUUCAUGAGGAUGGGAAGCCCCGUGAGCUUCACGGGGGGAGUCUCUCCUCAACCUCAGUCUCUAGAGUAUGUUUUAUUCUUUUUUAAUUUUGUCAUUAGUUUUCAUGAGUAACUAAACUCUAAUUGGGUACGAUUCUAAGAUGAACCUCUAUUUAUUUGUCGGAUCUUUUUAAUUUAAGUCUUUUAUUCAGUUAUUUUAUAAUUUAUAUUUAAUUAUCUUAUGCUAAAGUCUUAAUGCUUUCAUCAGGCCUAUGGAUUGUGACAUACCUAGGGCUGAUGUCUGAACAUAGAAAUAGAGCAAACACUCUUUUCUGAAAGUUUCAUAUUGAAUUUUAUUCUUUCCCCUUGGUAAGGUAGACGAUAUAACGAUGCAUGUUUGUAGAACUACUAAGGUAAGAUUAUGUGAUGAACAUCUAAGUUUCAUAAAUGAAGUUGGAGUCUUUAGAUGAAAAUUAAGGAAUCUCAAUUCCGUUAUGUUUUCAAUUACCUUUGAGAGAUUAAGACCCAACUCUAGCUCUGAGUAGGAUUGACUACUGAUGACAAAACAUCAUAUGAUAGUUUAUGUCAUGUUUUUAGUUAUUUGUUUUGCAUUUGAAGGAAAAUAAGACGUCAUUUAGAGGAGUUGUCCAUGUUUUAAGGAACAUUUUGUAUUGUUUUCAUUCGAGUUGUUGUAAUUUACUUUUAUCCUAAAAUAUGUAACUUCAUAGGUGUUUUGAGACUUUUUAGUGAGAAAUCAUGUAAAUCGGAAAAAACAAGACAUAACGUGAAGUAGCGAGGAUGUGAAGAAUGAAAAUCAAUGCUUCUUAGAAUAUUUUUAAAUACAAGACAAGUUGGGGAAAAUUCAUCCCAAGUUUCAAGGCAUUUUUCAAGGCAUUUCAAAACGGAAUAACGCUCGAAAAAGGGGCAAAAAAUGUAAAAUUAACAAAAUAAACACUGACCCAUGCACCCCGCGCAUGGUAACGGGCAGAAAAUGUUGUCUGCUUGUUUUCCAAGUUGUCUUAGUGGAAAAAAGCUAAAUUUUCUUCUCUUAACCCUCAUGUAAUGAUACACUAUAAAUAUUGACCAUUGGAGACUCUUUUAUUCUUUCAUAAAGUUGGUGGUACAUAACAAAUGUGAAACAUCCAGAGCUUCAAGGAAGGGUUUCUUCCUCUACUUGUUCUCUAGAGUUAUUUUUUGUUAUGGUGGUUACCACGAGUAACUAAACCUCUGAGAUUAAGGUUCUAAGAUGAACCUCUAUUUAUUUGUUGGAUUAAAUUAAUUUCUUUAUUCAUCAUGAUAAUUAAAAGGAAUGAAAAUUGCUUUUCUGACAUAGAAUACUUCCUAUUGACACAAGUAAAUGACGCUUUUACCCCCAACAGUAGUUAACAACCGUUAGGCUAUGCGUCGGCAGUUAACUGCCGCUGGCUUCCAGCGGUUGUUAACUGCUGUUGUGUUCGUGAUAUAUUCAAGUCAGUAGCCAUAAUCCAGACUGUCACUCCAUCAUCACCAUCACCAUCUUUCUCUCAAAUUCUCUCUCUCUCUCUCUCUCUCUCUCUCUCUCUCUCUCUCUCUAAAAAAACUCUACCAAAUCAUCCAAAAUUUCUUCCACUAAAUCACAAGUAAGUUAUCACUUAUGAUAUUGUCAUACAUUUUAGUUAGUAUAUAUGUUUAUAUGUUUAUAAUUUUAGUUGUUGUUUAAUUAUUAAAUUUUGAAUUUUUGUUUUUAGUAUAGUUAUGGUCAGGCCCGGCCUUGAGGGUAUGCAAGGUGCUCAACCAGGCCGGAUCUCCAAAUGAUACGGGCCUCUAACGAAAAAUUAAAUCUAAUGCCCACCCCACACUUAAAUAAAAAAUAUAUAUGUUAUAACCUUUUCUUUCUUUUGUACACGUUUGAGUUUUUUUCUAGACUCUAGUUCUCCUUUUUGUACAUAAAUCGGAUCCUAUCAAAUCACCCCUAAUUUGUAUAAUCAAUUAAUGAGUCAAUUUUAAUAUAGUUAUGUUGUAGAUCUGAAAUGCUAUUAACAUAUAUUAUGAAUACCUGUUAUAGUGAAGUUAUAUUGCUUAAAUUUAAUUUUUUUUUCUCUAAUUUUAUAAAUUUUUUAGGGUUUGUUUAGGAUUUUUAAGGUUUAUGUUAAAUUUUCACUACAAGUGUUUGAAUUAGUUUUUUAUUGAUUAUUUUUAAUUUAUAAUUGUGUAGAUUUGAAACAAUGGCCGGGUGGAUCGACGUUCAUGCACAAUUCAACGGUGGAGAACCUCAGAGGUUGAAGGUUCGGUGCCUUGGUGUAAUGUUAAGAGGUCUCAAGGAUGAAUUGACUGAAUUCAACCACGGAGUCAACCCCAGAGACACAAGGAGGGUGGAACACGUUCGAUAUAAACAUCCAACGCUCGACGAGGGGAGAGUAUCAUUCACUUGGGUCGAAUUAACGGACGAUGAAUACGCGACGAGCAUGUUUUGGGAGCACAGCAUGUACCAGUGGAUCGAUAUGCAGGUGACGUUGCUGAGAUCAACUGAAGAUAUCAUCAAAAAUUUGAUUCCGCCAGAAGAUCGUCAUUAGGUACGGAAUGAAUGCACCUUCCAACUACAACAAUUGUCUUCCUUUGAAUGGGGUAAUUCAAACUUGCCAAACGGCAGGACUCCAAUAUUCGACCGGCAUUCCCAUUGUUCAUGUCAAAAGAUUAAAUUCUUGUUAGGCCGGUUUAAAUGAAGGUAUUGAAGUGUCAAGGAAUGAACCUCAUUCUUUUGACAUUUGAAUACCAUCAUUUAAUCCCCGCCUAACAAGAAUUUAAUCUUUUGAAUGGAACAUUGGGAAUGCCGGUCGUAUAUUGGAGUCCUGCUGCUUGGAAAGUUUAAAUUUACCUCAUUCAAAGGUAACACAAUUGUUGUAGUUGGAAGGUACAAACGUCCAACUGCAACAAUUGUUUUCCUUUGAAUGGGUAAUUCAAACUUCUUAAACGGCAGGAAUCCAGCAUUCGAUGAGCAUUUUGAAUGAUGGUAUUCAAGUGUCAAGGAAUGCACCUCAUUCUUUUGACAGUUGAAUACCAUCAUUUAAAAUGCUCAUCGCAUGCUGGAGUCCUGCUGUUUAGCAAGUUUGAAUUUGCCCCAUUCAAGGGUAAGAUAAUUGUUGCAGUUGGAAGGUACAUUCCGGAAUGUAAUGUAAUACAAUGUAAUGUGAUAACAUAUAUAGUUGAAUAUGCAUAAUAUAUUUUGUUUUGAAUGGAACAAUAAUUAUCUUAUUUAUUCACUUUUCGAAUUUAAUUAUUCAUUACGCAAUUUUAAUUAGUUGAAUUCACGUUAGAUUUAAUUAGUUUUUAUUCGAAUACGCAAUUAUUCAAAACGCGACUUUAAUCGAAAUUAUUUCAAAUGCGAUUUUAAUUGAAAUUAUUCAAAACGCGAAUUUAUUCAAAGUAUCAAUAUGUCAAGCAAAAUGUACCAUAAAAAAAAAACAUAUAAAAAGAUCCAAAACAAUUAGAUAUUACAACUCAUUACAUUCAAUCAUCUUCCUCAUCACACAAGUCAAUUGGGUUGUCCUCGACAGUCCCGGGGGCACCUGCUUUUGGCUGAGGACCAAAAUAGCAUGUCCUUCCGCUCCUCCUCAACCUCGAAUGAUUAUACACCAGCACCUUCGAAUCCUUCUUUUCGACGGACCCAUCACAUGUGAUUCUAUGCCAUGUCAUCGGCGAUUUUUCUUUCUUCUUGUCAUCACCCUUCUUUUUGUUCACCUCAACGUUUCCCUGAUUCUGAGACAUAUCUACAUAAACAAAUCGGCGAUCAAAACCUACAUCAUGUCGUAACAAUUCAACAAUAAUUCAUCAAAACCUAAACUAAUUAUAACGUAACUAAUCGUAACAAUUCUAUCACAAAUUCAUAACAACAAAAUUUCAUAACAAACCUAAACUAAUCGCAACGAUUAUACAACAAUUCAUCUAAUCCUAAAAAUUCUACCAUAAUUUCAUAACAAACCUAACAAUUCAAACAAUCUAAACUAUCAUAAAAUCAAUAAACAUCUAUAAUCGCAAUUUAACCAAAAAAAAAACUAAUAAAUCAAUUACAAAAUAACAAUGUAAUAGGAUGGUAACAACUUACUUGAUUUUGUAAGCGUAAUUGAUGUUGAAUCCGCAACAAUUGGGAAAAUGGCACCUCUUGAUCUUCAAUCCGUAACAAUGGAGUUUUGGAAACUCCUAUAUUAUUCUAUUCAUAUAACAGAAAGCAACGACAAUUAACAACCGCUGGAAGCCAACGGCAGUUUACUGCCGGUACAUAGCCUAACGGUUGCUAACUGUUGCUAGAGGUAACAUCGUCAUUUACUUGUGUAAGUAUUCAUUGUCAAAAAACAAUUUUCAAAAAGAAUAGCACCAACGGCAAAGCCAAGAGUUUCCGAUACAACUCAUCCUUGCAGUCAUCAUCACACCGGGAUAUAAUUUACUCUUUGAGGCGUUAAUCAACUGUCUAGAAACUUCACCACAAUUCAAGAAAAUUUUAUCAAGCAACAGAUAUUAAAAUGAGUAGCCGUGCAAAAAAUUAUAACAUCAUCAACAUAAAAGACAUGAAUCGAGACACUAACACUGCAGUAAUAAUUCAUGGGGAUCAAUAAGCCUUUGGGCCGAGGCAAGCGAAAUACUCCCUCCGUCCAAAUAAACAGCCUUUGUCUUUUUCACAGGAUUUAUUUUGUGGGUUAAUAUUAUCAAAUUAUCUUUUAUUUGUAUGUGUAUUAAAUUUGACUUUACAUAUUUCAAGAUAAGUUAGUAGUAUUAAUUAGGGGUAUGUUUAGAAAAAAAUAAUAAAUGUAUAUAGUAAUUUGAAAAGAAGUUUACAUUUAGAGACAUAAAUAAAAUCAAAUAGGUGGUUACAUAUAGGGACGGAGGGAGUCCUCAACAAGACUAUAAAUGUUCCACAAAUACAACUCAAAUGAUAGUGUUUUUUUUUUUUUUUUAGGAAACUCAAAUGAUACUUAUAAGUUAUAACAACAUUGCUAUAUCAUUUUAUAACUAAAGAAUACAUUCAAAAUUGAGAUUUUCCACUUAGCCACCGGUUAUUUGAUAACUAUAGUAUAAUAAUAAAGUAAAGGGAAGAAUACUAGGCCAUCGUCAUUUUGGUCGUAGUGUUUGGAAAGUGUCACAAUUCUGGUAGCUGUACCCAUCAAUUCAUAGUCCUGCUCUGCGUUGUCUCUCUUUUGGUAGAGAAAUGAUAUUUAAAUAUCCAUUUUGUGACAAUUUUUUUUACAAUUUUCUCUCUUAUACUUACGUUAUUUUUUACUUUAUCUCUU
rnacentral:lncRNA from 1 species